UACGUAGGGUGCGAGCGUUAAUCGAAAUUACUGGGCGUAAAGUGUGCGCAGGCGGCAGAGCAAGUCGAGUGUGAAAGCCCCGGGCUUAACUUGGGAAUUGCGCUCGAAACUACUUUGCUGGAGUGUGGCAGAGGAAGGUGGAAUUCCACGUGUAGCGGUGAAAUGCGUAGAGAUGUAGAGGAACACCAAUGGCGAAGGCAGCCUUCUGGGCCAACACUGACGCUCAUGCACGAAAGCGUGGGGAGCAAACAGG
rnacentral:rRNA from 1 species